GCGGGAAUAGCUCAGUUGGUAGAGCACAACCUUGCCAAGGUUGGGGUCACGAGUUCGAGCCUCGUUUCCCGCUCCA
rnacentral:tRNA from 1 species